AAAUUAAGAAGUCUGUCCUGCCCACUGAAUGAAGUUUAAAGGGCCGCGGUAUUAUGACCGUGCAAAGGUAGCAUAGUCAAUAGUCUCUUAAUUGGAGGCUGGAAUGAACGGUUGGACGGGAAGAUAGCUGUCUUAACUGAGUACUACGAAUUUGACUUUUAUGUGAAAAGGCAUAAAUGGUUUGGGGGGACGAUAAGACCCUAUAAAACUUUAUAAUUUGAUUAGGAAUUUGAUUUGAGUUUAAUAUGUGCCUAAGGAUUGUUAUUUCGCUGGGGAGGUGGAAAUAAAAUUCUUCUAACUGUUUUAUAAUGUAAAUAACAAUAAUUAGAUGAUGACCCUGAAUUUUGGUUUAAAAGUUUAAGUUACUUUAGGGAUAACAGCGUAAUCUCUCUUGAGAGUUCAUAUCGACAGAGAUGGUUGCGACCUCGAUGUUGAAUUAAAAUUUCCUACAGGAGUAGAAAUUUGUGGGGUAGGUCUGUUCGACCUUUAAAGUUUU
rnacentral:rRNA from 1 species